rnacentral:hammerhead_ribozyme from 1 species
AUCCAGCUGACCAGUCCCAAGUAGGACGAAACGCGCAUCCUGGAU